CCUUCGCUGCGCGAAGCUGACGGAGCACGCCGCGUGAGUGAUGAAGGGUUUCGGCUCGUAAAACUCUGUUAUUAGGGAAGAACAAACGUGUAAGUAACUGUGCACGUCUUGACGGUACCUAAUCAGAAAGCCACGGCUAACUACGUGCCAGCAGCCGCGGUAAUACGUAGGUGGCAAGCGUUAUCCGGAAUUAUUGGGCGUAAAGCGCGCGUAGGCGGUUUCUUAAGUCUGAUGUGAAAGCCCACGGCUCAACCGUGGAGGGUCAUUGGAAACUGGGAAACUUGAGUGCAGAAGAGGAAAGUGGAAUUCCAUGUGUAGCGGUGAAAUGCGCAGAGAUAUGGAGGAACA
rnacentral:rRNA from 1 species